rnacentral:rRNA from 1 species
GACGAACGCUGGCGGCGUGCUUAACACAUGCAAGUCGAACGGAAAGGCCCUGCUUUUGUGGGGUGCUCGAGUGGCGAACGGGUGAGUAACACGUGAGUAACCUGCCCUGGACUUUGGGAUAACUUCAGGAAACUUGGGCUAAUACCGGAUAGGAGCUCCUGCUGCAGGGUGGGGGUUGGAUAGUUUAGGCGGUAGGGGAUGGACUCGCGGCUUAUCAGCUUGUUGGUGGGGUAGUGGCUGACCAAGGCUUUGACGGGUAGCCGGCCUGAGAGGGUGACCAGCGACAUUGGGACUGAGAUACGGCCCAGACGCGUACGGGAGGCAGCGGUGGGGAAUAUUGCACAAUGGGCGGAAGCCUGAUGCAGCAACGCCGCGUGCGGGAUGACGGCCUUCGGGGUGUAAACCGCUUUCGCCUGUGACGAGGCGGGAGUGACGGUAAUGGGUAAAGAAGCACCGGCUAACUACGUG